UAGAGUUUGAUCCUGGCUCAGGAUGAACGCUGGCGGCGUGCUUAACACAUGCAAGUCGAACGGGAAACCUUUUAUUGAAGCUUCGGCAGAUUUAGAUUGUUUCUAGUGGCGGACGGGUGAGUAACGCGUGGGUAACCUGCCUUAUACAGGGGGAUAACAGUCAGAAAUGGCUGCUAAUACCGCAUAAGCGCACAGGACCGCAUGGUCUGGUGUGAAAAACUCCGGUGGUAUAAGAUGGACCCGCGUUGGAUUAGCUUGUUGGCAGGGUAACGGCCUACCAAGGCGACGAUCCAUAGCCGGCCUGAGAGGGUGAACGGCCACAUUGGGACUGAGACACGGCCCAGACUCCUACGGGAGGCAGCAGUGGGGAAUAUUGCACAAUGGGGGAAACCCUGAUGCAGCGACGCCGCGUGAAGGAAGAAGUAUCUCGGUAUGUAAACUUCUAUCAGCAGGGAAGAAAAUGACGGUACCUGACUAAGAAGCCCCGGCUAACUACGUGCCAGCAGCCGCGGUAAUACGUAGGGGGCAAGCGUUAUCCGGAUUUACUGGGUGUAAAGGGAGCGUAGACGGAUGGACAAGUCUGAUGUGAAAGGCUGGGGCUCAACCCCGGGACUGCAUUGGAAACUGCCCGUCUUGAGUGCCGGAGAGGUAAGCGGAAUUCCUAGUGUAGCGGUGAAAUGCGUAGAUAUUAGGAGGAACACCAGUGGCGAAGGCGGCUUACUGGACGGUAACUGACGUUGAGGCUCGAAAGCGUGGGGAGCAAACAGGAUUAGAUACCCUGGUAGUCCACGCGGUAAACGAUGAAUGCUAGGUGUCGGGGAGCAAAGCUCUUCGGUGCCGCCGCAAACGCAUUAAGCAUUCCACCUGGGGAGUACGUUCGCAAGAAUGAAACUCAAAUGAAUUGACGGAAGGGCGAA
rnacentral:rRNA from 1 species